CUUCCUCAUCAUUAUCCACAGCCAGAUCUUUUGGGGCUCGGUUGAUCUGAUAGUCGUUGCUCUGAACACUUUUUGUUUUUAACUUUGACUCCUCCCUCCUCAUGAGGUGAAAUAAAAAUACACGGGUUUUACCGAUUUUGGAGGCUUCAACGCAGAGUGUAAUUUUCUGCCGCCAGGGGUCUCUCAAUCAAAACAAUAACAAAAGACGAAGUUUGAUGACGUCGUGAAGUAGCUUGGGAUCAUGGGAGUUGUUGUCUUCAUCGUUAAACAACCAUCACUGCAGUUUUCACGUUGCUGGAAACAUUUGGGAUAAUUGAAGAAGACGAGGAAUGUCCACUUCUGCCAUAUCUCUGUAAACAAGUUCAAUUAUAUGUGAGGAUCUCUGCCAGUGGAAACAAUAUCAUCUGGAGAAGACGAGAGGACAGGAGUGUUCAUCCAUUGGGAAAUUAUGGAGUUGCAGCUGGCAUUCUGCGUUGAUGGUCAUCCUGGAGAGGAAGAUGGAGAGACAGAAGGAGAAAGAAACACUUUCAAAUAAAGACAUUCAAGGCACUAAAUAUGCUUUGGAUCCUUCAUUUUCCGGUCCAUGAAGCACAUGGUGUGAAUGCACGGUGAACAAAGCGCAGAUGCUGUACACGCUCGCUUUUCAUCCUUGUCAGGAGGAAAUCCAAAUUUGGGCAAGAGUGUGGAGCUGAUGUGGGGAGAGCAAGCAGCGACAAACACAGCAAAAGAUGCUGUUCUAUCUCACACUGGCUCCACCCUCUACUGGACUAAUCCAAUCUAAAAUAUGCAAGUGGAAAACAUGAACAACCAUGGAGCAACCUUAGCAACAAAGGCUAUGGGAACAGAUGGCCGUUUGUGGGCAUGUGUGAACAAUCAUCUGAUGUCAGUUCGAUGGCAGCAACUCACUCCAAGGACAAGCUGCAGUGAGCCAUCUGCACCGCUGAGAGGGACAUCAGUUGCAAUCACCCAACUACUGGGAAGCUGUACUACUUCACACACAGGUGAUUGUCAACUUGGCUAACCUGGCUACCUGAGAUGUGAGGAGAAGCAUUUGCCAGGACUCUAAACUCCUUUUCAUCUAAUGAAAUGUCACUGGACUUGAAAUAUUGAGGAGGCUCAUCUGAGAAUUGUCCUUUCAGCUGGUGAGGUGUCACCGCUGUGCCAAAUGUCAGCUCUGCGAGGAUCAAGGAGAAGAAGGCCUGCCAGGGCCGAGUCAGCCUCAAAGCCAUCGAGAUCUGAGCCAGAGGUGCAGAGAGCAACUAUUUUACUCCAGCGGAAAUACUGUUAUUUUGCUCGGUGCGUAUUUCCUAAAGAAGCGCAGGACAAAAUGUGAGGUAAAAUUAGGCCUCAGUGGCCUACAAAGCCACAGACCAGGUGUGCCUGUGUGCAAGUUACCGUCGCCCGACAGGAUUUUAGGGCGUCACUGCAGUUUGGAGCUAAGGUGCAAAUGUGCAUAUCGCAACUUUUAAGUAAAAAACAGGCAAUUUCAUGAUAAAAUAAAAAAAAGGUUUUUGAGUCCAUAUUCUUCACAUGUAUCCCUGAGAGUUAUUAAUUGUGCUUAAGUAUGCUAGACCCCCUAAAAAUGAAUAG